AGGGUAUUCAACUAAGAUUAAUGACCAUAAGAUAUACUUGAAAGUUCUGGCUGUCAAUGCUUGCUUUCUAAUAAAUGUCUGAUACAGAAAGAUUUUUGGAUUCAUGCAGGCGGUUUCACAUUGCCAGUCAAAAGUGGCGAGACCUACAUGCUACGGUUGAUCAAUGCAGCACUCAAUGAAGAGCUCUUCUUCAAAAUUGCAGGGCAUAAGCUUACAGUCGUCGAAGUUGAUGCCACCUAUGUUAAACCAUUCAAAACCGAUACAGUCCUAAUUGCCCCAGGCCAGACCACCAAUGUCCUUGUCACAACUAACAAAAAUACAGGCAAGUACUUGGUUGCUGCCUCCCCGUUCAUGGAUUCUCCAAUUGCUGUGGACAACAUGACAGCAACAGCCACUUUGCAGUAUUCAGGAGCACUUGCUAACUCCCCUACAACUCUCACCACCCCACCUCCAAAGAAUGCCACUGCAGUUGCCAACCAAUUUACCAACUCUCUACGCAGCCUUAACUCAAGAAGAUUUCCUGCCAAAGUCCCAUUGAACGUUGAUCACAACCUUUUCUUUACAGUUAGUCUAGGAGUUAACCCAUGUCCAAGUUGCAAAGCUGGUAAUGGCAGCAGGGUUGUUGCUAGUAUUAACAAUGUCACAUUUGUGAUGCCAACCACUGCCCUGCUCCAAGCACAUUUCCUCAACAUCAGCGGUGUGUUCACCACUGAUUUUCCUGCAAAGCCACCGCAUGUUUUCAAUUACACUGGCACUCCACCUACAAAUUUACAGACCAAAAGUGGAACUAAAGUUUAUAGGCUGAGCUACAACUCGACAGUCCAACUUGUUAUGCAAGAUACUGGUAUCAUAUCCCCUGAGAACCAUCCGAUCCAUUUACAUGGAUUCAAUUUCUUUGCUGUCGGUAGGGGAGUAGGGAAUUACAAUCCGAAGACUGAUACUAAGAAGUUUAACCUCGUUGAUCCUGUUGAACGGAACACAAUUGGAGUACCUUCUGGUGGAUGGGUGGCGAUAAGAUUUCGCGCCGAUAAUCCAGGUAAUUGCUGUUUAAUGUUUUCGUUUGGAAGUACAGAGCUUGGCAUUUUCAAGUUUGUUUAAUUUCAUGUUCUCUGAUUUUCUUCUUCGCAUCUCUUGUAGGAGUUUGGUUCAUGCAUUGCCAUCUAGAGGUGCACACUACAUGGGGACUUAAGAUGGCGUUCUUGGUAGACAAUGGCAAAGGCCCUAAGGAGUCUCUUCUACCGCCGCCAAGCGACCUUCCAAAAUGUUGAAGUCAGAUCAAGAACUAUACUAACUCGAGGGAUAGAAGCCAUACUUUAUCAGGAAACUUGGUCCCGGUAGAAACAUUCUAUGCUCGAAGAGAGCAGAGUGUGUAUAUAUAUAAUUUGAGGGUUAAAGAUCCGAUUUGUUUCUUGAGUGAAUUGGAAGAUUUGCUCAAGCGAGUUUGCAUAAAAUUUUGUGAGCGGUAGAGCUGUUUCAAUUCAAAUGUUAUUUUUUCUUGAAUAAAUAUAUAUAUAUUGAAGAUUUGAUCACAAAGCCAUUCAUGAUCAAUAAAACUUGUAUGCUUCUAAAUAUGUUCAUGGGUCGGGUUGGAUAAGACCUAGAUCAGGCCCGAUUAACUUUUCUAAGUUAUAUUGACCCGUAUCUGGCCAGAAUCGAUCCUUGGGCUUUCAAGCCCUUUAAGAAAUAAAAAAUAAAAAAUAAAAGCAAAAUAAUAUGUAGCAAUAGAAAUUAGUUUUUUUUUUUUUGAGACAAGUAUCGAAAUUGUUAAAGAAUAAGGAAGCAAAGUUUUAGCACGGCGAAACAAAUAUUUAUAUAACGCGGCAAUGAUUAGAAAUUCUAGCAAUGAUUGCAUUUCUUAGACCCAAAAGCUGUAUGUUUUUAAAUAUUUUUGAUAUGGUAAAGUAAGAAAUUAUUAUUUUAAUAUAUUUUAAAAUAAAAAAUUUUAAAAAUUAAUUUUUAUCACAAUCUCAAAUAAACAUUAGGUGAAAAGAAAAAAGAAAAGGAACAAUACAAACUGAAGCAUGGAGUUAGAACUUAAUUUUGUAGUUUAUUAAAAUAAAUAAAUUAAUUAUGGUUUUAACUAUAUAUUUACUCUUUUUGUUUUUAAAACCAUUUAUAACUUAAUAUUUUUCAUCCCUUUUAUGUUGUUUUUUCAAUAUAUUUAUUUUUUGUUUUAAAAACAGAAAAAAGAAAAGAAAAAGAAAAAGAUAAAUUAAGAAGAUUGAUAAAAUAGAAGAUACCUUUAUUUUUUUUCCCAAUAUGCUACGGCUAAAACUGGUUAGGAAAAUAGUGUAGCUGCAGAUGCAUUGGCACUGUUCACUAGAACAUUCUAAUGACAUCUUUGUCUUUUCCAUAAAAAAAACUUAUAACUAGUUUCUGGGAACAUGAAAGUCUUUUGACGAUGUGCAUUAGUCAUUCUUAAAUUAAUUAGGGGCAAUUAUGUCUUUUUCAAUUUAAAAAUACAGUGAAAAGACCGAAAUGCCCUUAAAAGCAAAAAAUUCAAUGCUAGCAUCAAGGGACAAUUUGAUACUUUUAAAAUUGUUUUUUUCUAUUAUUAUCAUGUAAGAUGAGGAGCAAUUUUGUAUUUGGAUAAAUAUAUAUAAAAAAUAAAAAACAUAGUGAAACGAUCAAAAUGUCCUUGGAAGUCUAAACAUAAAAAAAAAUGAUCUCAAGGGACUUUUUCCAUAGGUUUUUAUCUCAAAGCCUUCCCAAACUUCGAUUGAUAUUCAAUUUUAACUCUAUAAAAAAUAAGGUCUGUGAAAUCUUUUGGUAAAAUAUCAAUUCGAUCCAACGUUCAAAUUAAAAAUUAUGCUUGUUAGCGUAAAACUGUACAUUAGAAAAAAAAAGCCCAAAAUUACCUCUCAUUACCCAACCCUUUUAUGGACCACAUUAAUCAAGGCUUAGUCACCUUUUCUUGAAAAUUUAAAACUUGACUUGACCCAAAUAUCUUGAAUAAGCCCAUCGAAUAACUCUUCAAUCUUUUUGGUCGAAUGAUACAAGGUCAAAAUCUUUGGCUUCUCCUUCCUCAUUCUCAUCAACCAUCUCAUCAAUGAUCCUACACCUCACCAAACAUCACAUUCAUCCUCUCAAAUUGUUGUUCUAUAACCAGCAAUUUAAGAUGUCCUCCUUCUUCUUUUCAGAGGAUGCCCCGUCUUUGGAAGACAUUAUCAAAUUUAAAAUUUUACGUUAGUAAUAAAAAACAAUUAUCAUCACUCACUCCCUUAUGUGUUUACACUCUAUAAUCAACGGGUUGUAGUUGUUCAUCCAAUAGCUUCGAUUCUUUGGUUCAAGGUAAACACUAGAUCGAGUUUUUAUCUUCAAUUCGAUUUUAUCUUUUUUGGGUUGUAUUUUUUCUUGUUUAUGAGUUCACAUCACAAGAAACUAUUUUAUAAUAAACCUAAACCUAGGUUCGAGCCACAUCGUGUCGACACGUGCUUGCGUAUGGGUUUAAGUUCAAAACCCACUUUGCUUAUGUCAUUUUCCCUCUAAAAAAUUGGGUUCCUUUUGGUCUCAAUAUUAACUCUUCGCCUUCUCAUUAAAUAAGUCACAAGAAAAACUUAUUUCUUUCCAACACGGAUAGAGUUUUUAAAGGGUUUGGGUUUCACUAAAACAUGUCAAUCAAAGGUUCUUUGAGAAUAAUUUUUUAUUCAUCCAUAAUUUAAUUAAAUCAUAUUAGUGUUCUAUGUUAAAGAGCUUAUAUUGGAUAUUAAAUUCCAACAAAGUUUUAACCCCAAAAAUGAAUGGAUCCACUUUUAAUUUGGCCUCAAAUAUUUCCAUUAACCAUGUUCCAAGACAAAAUUUGCAACAAAAUGUCCCAUUAACAAAGCAGAAUGUUUUUGUUACAAUACUAAUGUCAGUAAAAAUGAGUAGAGAAUGUUGAUGAAUUUAGAUAUAACUAGUUUAUUUUCUACACUAUCAUUGUGGGUUGGAUGAAAUUUUUUUGGAACAUAAGAAAAUAAUAUAUAAACCAUAUGAAACUUUUCGGCAUUGUCAUUAAAUUAGGUGCAACAGUUCAAACUUGACAACUCUUAACAUGACUAUUUGUUUAGCUCAAGUUUUUAAUUAAAUCAUAUGAAAGUUGCUCUUAUGUGACAUUGUUUACUGGGUAGGUGCAAAGAAAAAAAAACACGUUAGGUUCAACCUAAUCAACCCACCAAACUCGUGAUCGAAGUUAUGAGCUUCACUAGGUCAAAUUAAUUUUUUUUAUUUUAUUAUAUAAUAAAAAUAUAAAUUUUUAUUUACCAUCAACACAAUACUAAAAAAUAAAAUUAAAAAGAAAAACUUCACAUUAAAAGAUAAUAUUGAAAGAAAAAAAUAAAAUAUGUAAAAAAUACUCUAAUGGUGUGCUAUGAUAAAGCCAAACACGCGGGCACGUGGGCUUGGGGAAGGCCUGCAGCUUGGGCUGUGCACAUCUUUUUUAUUUGCAAAAAAGAAGAAAAGCAACCUCUCAUCUAUCUUUUGAAAGAAUAUACUGCUAUCUGUAGCUAGGAAUCAAACCCACAACCUCCACACCUACCUCCUUGCUUACCACCACUUGAACUAUGACAAGAACUUAACCAAGCUAUUAAAAUAUAUCAACUUGAUUUUAAUAACUAAGCCAAAUCCAGCCAUUUAGUUGUUCCUUUUUACUAUUAGAUUUGAAAUCAAUGGUUUUAACAAACCAGCAUUUUAGACAUUCCCAAAACAGACGGAUGCGCAAAAGCAUUGAAUUGAAUUGAAAAUAUUGAUCGGAUCAUGCAUGGAUUUUCAUAUAAAAAAAACACAUCACCGUGGAAAGGACCUGGUGAGCACUCAUCAUUAGAAUUCAGAGCCGCAAGUAAUCCUGGGACAUCCUUUACAAGGACUACAAGUAAUGCCUUGAAAAAGAGAGUUCGGCCUACCAAACUUAACCCGUAUUGUUCUUAAAUCUACGAAGAGCACCAGGUCCUAAAAAAGAGUAGCAAAAUAAAAUAAAUUCUAAGGCAACUAAUUGAAAAUGGUGAUUAAUUAAGGUGACUUGUCCGUUGCUGAUCAAUUGACCACAUGUUCUUUUACUCUAUUUUUAUAUUGUUGUGAACCUACUUGAGUAAAUAGCAGGACAAGAGAAUGUUUUCAGGAUAAAUAUGUAGGAAGUGGGUGCCAAAUUUAAUCAUUUAAUUUACAGAUUUCCUAUGCCACCAAAUUAUCAAACUUCCAUGCAAGGUUCCUAAUUAAUAAAUGCAAAAAUUAGAAAACACAUGGUCUGCUUCCCAAACUAUGUUGAUCCAUGAACAAGACGACUUUAUGUAGCAUGUAAGAAACCUAGUAAGAUUAGGCUUCUAAUCCUUGUUUUCCAAGAAUGAACUCACCCACCUAACCUAACUGUGAAAAACGACAUGGCAGCAAUUCCCAUAUUCCCUUUAUAAGGUUGAGGUAGCCAGUCACGGAUGAAGACAACAAGCUUGAAAGCAAGAAGGAAACCAACAGCAACAGAGAGAUUGCCAAAGAAAGGUCUCGAAGUCAGCAAAUAUGGAGUACUCCAAUUUGCUCAUCCGUUUUAUGCUUCUUGCUGUCUGCCUCCUCCCCGCUUUGGUCGAGUGCAGGAUUCGGCAUUACAAGUUCAAUGUAAGUUAAAUGCUGUAGCAAGCUUCCAUGUGACGAAAGCCUGAACUGCUUGCGCUUUAGGUCAUUAGUCUCAUUCAUGUGACGAAAAUCUUCUUUGAAAUGCAUUUCGUUAUUAGAAGAUAGCCAUGUUUUGCACGAUGCAUUGCGCAUCAUGACACUGCCUUGGCUUAAAAUCAUGCAACUUUACCCAUAUCUUUUUCCUGACUAGUCCAUGAUUCAAAUGGAAAUCAUAGAGUUUCCACCUACCUAUAGCCACUAUUUUAAAUACCAGAAAAGUUUAUUCUCAUGCUUACUUUAUGGUUAAAUAAUUGCAGCAGAAAGCUCUCACUAUAUAUAUAUAUAUAUAUAUAUAUAUAUAUAUAUAUAUAUAUAUGUUCAAGAAACCAUUAAAAAAAUAUUAAAUAGGAAAAGGGUGGUAAGAUCUCAAAGCACUGUAGUGACAUAAUUUGUCACAACAAAUUAAACAAUAUGGACAGUUUAGCAUUUGAUGUAGAAAUGAGCUUAAAUAUUUCACCUAUCAUUUCAACAGGUGGUGAUGAAAAAUACUACCAGACUAUGCUCUAGGAAGCCGAUUGUUACCGUCAAUGGCCGCUUCCCAGGACCCACUCUGUAUGCCAGAGAACACGAUACAGUUCUUGUAAAAGUUGUUAACCAUGUCAAAUAUAAUGUUUCUAUUCACUGGUAAGCUAACGAAACAAACCCUGUAUAACAGUUAUACUUCAAUUCAUCAUGAAUGAUACCGAUGCGGAUUUUUCUUGGUAUUCUGCAGGCAUGGCAUUAGGCAACUAAGAACGGGCUGGGCUGAUGGACCAGCAUACAUUACACAAUGCCCCAUUCAGCCAGGGCAAAGCUAUGUCUACAAUUUCACAAUCACUGGUCAGAGGGGCACACUUCUUUGGCACGCACAUAUUCUCUGGCUAAGGGCCACAGUUCAUGGUGCCCUGGUUGUCUUGCCUAAACGCGGCAUCCCCUACCCAUUCCCAGCUCCUCAUAAAGAAGUGCUUGUUGUAUUAGGUGAGCAGGAUACAUAAUAGCUAUUUCUUUCACUAAAACUUUUGAAAUUCUGUGCAUUCCGCCAUAAUUCAAAUCUUUAAGGUUCAUGGUUAUUAAAUAUGUAACCUGAGACUAAGGUGGUGACGUGAAAUUGCAGCUGAAUGGUGGAAAUCAGAUACUGAAGCUGUGAUCAACGAGGCUCUUAAAUCUGGAUUAGCUCCAAAUGUCUCUGAUGCUCACACAAUUAACGGCCAUCCAGGAGCUGUCUCAGCUUGUUCUUCACAGGGUAUUCAACUAAGAUUAAUGACCAUAAGAUAUACCUGUGAGUUCUGGCUCUCAAUGCUUGCUUUCUAAUAGAGGUCUGAUACAGAAAGAUUUUUGGAUUCAUGCAGGCGGUUUCACAUUGCCAGUCAAAAGUGGCGAGACCUACAUGCUACGGUUGAUCAAUGCUGCACUCAAUGAAGAGCUCUUCUUCAAAAUUGCAGGGCAUAAGCUUACAGUCGUCGAAGUGGAUGCCACCUAUGUUAAACCAUUCAAAACCGAUACAGUCCUAAUUGCCCCAGGCCAGACCACCAAUGUCCUUGUCACAGCUAACAAAAAUACAGGCAAGUACUUGGUUGCUGCCUCCCCGUUCAUGGAUGCUCCAAUUGCUGUGGACAACAUGACAGCAACAGCCACUUUGCAGUAUUCAGGAGCACUUGCUAACUCCCCUACAACUCUCACCACCCCACCUCCAAAGAAUGCCACUGCAGUUGCCAACCAAUUUACCAACUCUCUACGCAGCCUUAACUCAAGAAGAUUUCCUGCCAAAGUCCCAUUGAACGUUGAUCACAACCUUUUCUUUACAGUUGGUCUAGGAGUUAACCCAUGUCCAAGUUGCAAAGCUGGUAAUGGCAGCAGGGUUGUUGCUAGUAUUAACAAUGUCACAUUUGUGAUGCCAACCACUGCCCUGCUCCAAGCACAUUUCCUCAACAUCAGCGGUGUGUUCACCACUGAUUUUCCUGCAAAGCCACCGCAUGUUUUCAAUUACACUGGCACUCCACCUACAAAUUUACAGACCAAAAGUGGAACUAAAGUUUAUAGGCUGAGCUACAACUCGACAGUCCAACUUGUUAUGCAAGAUACUGGGAUCAUAUCCCCUGAGAACCAUCCGAUCCAUUUACAUGGAUUCAAUUUCUUUGCUGUCGGUAGGGGAGUAGGGAAUUACAAUCCGAAGACUGAUACUAAGAAAUUUAACCUCGUUGAUCCUGUUGAACGGAACACAAUUGGAGUACCUUCUGGUGGAUGGGUGGCGAUAAGAUUUCGCGCCGAUAAUCCAGGUAAUUGCUGUUUAAUGUUUUCGUUUGGAAGUACAGAGCUUGGCAUUUUCAAGUUUGUUUAAUUUCAUGUUCUCUGAUUUUCUUCUUCGCAUCUCUUGUAGGAGUUUGGUUCAUGCAUUGCCAUCUAGAGGUGCACACUACAUGGGGACUUAAGAUGGCGUUCUUGGUAGACAAUGGCAAAGGCCCUAAGGAGUCUCUUCUACCGCCGCCAAGCGACCUUCCAAAAUGUUGAAGUCAGAUCAAGAACUAUACUAACUCGAGGGAUAGAAGCCAUACUUUAUCAGGAAACUUGGUCCCGGUAGAAACAUUCUAUGAUCGAAGAGAGCAGAGUGUGUAUAUAUAUAAUUUGAGGGUUUAAGAUCCGAUUUGUUUCUUGAGUGAAUUGGAAGAUUUGCUCAAGCGAGUUUUAAUAAAAUUUUGUGAGCGGUAGAGCUGUUUCAAUUCAAAUGUUAUUUUUUCUUGAAUAAAUAUAUCUAUUGAAGAUUUGAUCACGAAGCCAUUCAUGAUCAAUAAAACUUGUAUGUUCUAUAUAUGUUCAUGUGUCGGGUCGGAUUAGACCUAGAUCAGGCCCGAUUAAUUUUUCUAAGCUAUAUUGACCCGAGUCUAGUCAGAAUCGAUACUUGGGCUUUCAAGCCCUUCAAGAAAUUAAAAAAUGAAAGCAAAUAAUAAAUGCUAGAGUUCGAUUAGAACUAGUCUUUUCAUUUUUCAACAAGUAUCAAAAUUGUUAACGACCAAGGAAGCAAAGUUUUAGCACCGUGAAACAAAUAUUUAUAUAUAUAUCACGGCAAUGAUUAGAAAUUCUAGCAAUGAUUGCAUUUCUUAGACCCAAAAGCUGUAUGUUUUUAAAUAUUUUUUAUAGGGUAAUGUUAAAAAUUAUUAUUUUGAUAUAUUUUAAAAUAAAAAAUAAUUUUAAAAAUAAUUUUUAUCAUAUUCUUAAAUAAAUAUUAGGUGAAAAGAGAAAGAAAGGGAAAAAUAUAAACUGAAGCAUGGAGUGACUAGUAACUUAAUUUUGUAGUUUAUUAAAAUAAAUUAAUUAAUUAUAGUUGUAACUAUAUAUUUACUCUCUUUGUUUUUAAAACCAUUUAUAACUUAAUAUUUUUCAUCUAUUAUAUGUUGUUCUUCUAAUUUAUUUAUUUUUUGUUUUAAAAACAAAAAAAAAAGAAAAAGAUAAAAUAAGAAGAUUGAUAAAAUAAAAGAUACCUUCAUUUUUUUUUCAAAUAUGCUAUAGCUAAAAUUGGUUAGGAAAAUAGUGUAGCUGCAGAUAUAUUGACACUGUUCACUAGAACAUUCUAAUGAAGUGAACGUUCUAAUGACGUCUUUGUCUUUUCCAUCAAAAAACUUAUAACUAGUUACUUGGGACAUCAAAGUCUUUUGAUGAGGCACAUUAGUCAUUUCUAAAUUGACUAGGGGAAAUUAUGUCUUUUCCAAUUUAAAAAAUACAGUGAAAUUUCUAAAAUGCUCUUUUAAAAGCAAAAAUCUCAAUAUUGGCAUCAAAGGACAAUUUGAUACUUUUAAAAUGGUUUUUUUUUGUUAUUAUCAUGUAAGAUGAGAAUCAAAAAUAUAUUGAAACGAUUGAAAUGUCCAUAGAAGUCAAAAAAUAAAAUAAAAAUGAUCUUAAAGGGCUUUUUCCAAAGGUUUUUUCAUUAUUAACAUGUAAAAUCAUGGGUGAUUUGAUAUUUGAAUAAAACAAAAUUCAGGCAUAUGUACGACACCAUGAGGCACGCGGGAGGCGCCAACACACUAUGGAUGACGUGUGUGACGCCUUCCAUUGUCCAAAAAUACCCUUUCAUCAUGUCAUUGGAAGCACUGUCGUGUUUUGUUUCCUGUUGGUAUGAUACAUGUCUUUGGUGGUGAUUCAGUUUGUCGUCGAAAGGACUUUCUAUUCUAUUCUUUUUCCUUCUCUUCUCUCUUCUCCCUUAAAAAAUAUAGUUUGCCCUUUUUGUUCUUGAUGUUUCAACUUCAAUAAUUAUUCUUUUGAUUUUUAAUUUUUGUUCCGGGCUCUUUUAUAGAAAUCUUAUUUGUUUUUAAUUUCAUUCUUCAAUCACAAUUCACUAAAUAUCAUAUUCUUUAAUUUGGUCAUUCUUUUGAUUUAUAAUUUUUGUGUAGCCUUAACAAAUAAGGUGUACCUUGCAAAAAUUGGAGCUCUGUUACCGCCUCUCGUGUGUCCAUGUAAAAUAAAGAAACCACUAACUUUUGAAUCCUAAUGAAACAUGGGAACCUUGCCAAUUAAUAACUCUAAUUAUGUCGCCUCAAAUGUCCUUGUAGAAUAAGGAAGUCACUUUAUAGGAAAUCUAUAAGUUAGAAGGAAAGAUAAUCCUAAACCAACUAGGAAACUAAUGCAAUUCCCGCAUAGUACUUUCUAGUUUUUAUCUCAAGGUCUUUCUAAACUCCGAUUGAUAUUUAAUUUUAACCCUAUAAAAAUAAGAUCUGUGAAAUCUUUUGGUAAAAUAUCAAUUCGAUCCAACAUUCAGAUUGAAAAUUAUGAUUGUUAGGGUAAAACUGUAUAUUAGAAGAAAACAAAUGCCCAAAAUUACCUCUCCUUACCCAACCCUUUCAUGGACCACAUUGAUCAAAGCUUAGUCACCCCUUCUUGAAAUUUUGAAACUUGACUUGACCAAAAUAUCUUAAAUAAGCCCAUCGAAUACCUUUUCAAUCUUCUUGGUCGAAUAAUGCAAGGUCAAAAUCUUUGGCUUCUCCUUCCUCAUUCUCAUCAACCAUCUCAUCGAUGAUCCUACACCUCACCAAACAUCACAUUCAUCCUCUCAAAUUGUUGUUCUAUACCCCUAACAAAAAUAAGAUGUUCUCCUCCUCCUUUUUAGAGGAUGCUCCGUCUUUGGAAGACAUUGUCAAAUUUAAAAUUUUACGUUAGCAAUAAAAAACAAUUAUCAUCAUUUACUCCCUUACGUGUUUACACUCAAUAAUCAACGGGUUAUGGUCGUUCAUCCAUUAGCUUCGAUUCUUUGGUUCAAGGUAUUCACUAUAUCAAGUUUUUAUCUUCAAUUCGAUUUGUCUUUUUGGGUUGUAUUUUUUCUUGUUUAUGAGUUCACAUCACAAGAAACUAUUUUAUAAUAAACUCAAACCUAGGCUCAAGCCACAUCAUGUCAACGCGUACUUGCAUAUUCAAAACCCACUUUACUUAUGUCAUUUUCCCUCUAAAAAAUUAGGUUCCUAUUGGUCUCAAUAUUAACUCUUCACCUUCUCACUAAAUAAGCCACAAGAAAAACUUAUUUCUUUCUAAUGUGGGAUAGAGUUUUUAGAAGGCUUUGGGUUUCACUAAAAUAUAUGAAUCAAUGGUUAUUUGAGAAUAAUUUUUUAUUCAUCCACAAUUUAUUUAAAUCAUAUUAGUAGUAUAUGUUAAAGAGCUUAUGUUGGAGAUUAAAUUCCAACACAGUUUUAACCCCAAAAGUGAAUGGAUCCACUUUUAAUUUGGCAUCAAAUAUUUUCAUUAACCAUGUUCCUAGACAAAAUUUGCAACAAAAUAUCCUCCUAACAAAGCAGAAUGUUUUUGUUACAAUACUAAUGUCAGUAAAAAUGAGUAACGGAUGUUGAUGUAUUUAGAUAUAACUAGUUUAUUUCCUACACUAUCGUUGUGGGUUGUAUGAAAUUUUUUUGGAAUAUAAGAAAACAAUAUAUAAAUUAUAUAAAACUUUUUUGCAUUGUUAUUAAACUAAGUACAAUGGUUCAAACUUGACAACUCUCAACAUGACUAUUUGUUUAGCCCAAGUUUUAAAUUAAAUCAUAUGAAAGUUGCCGUUAUGUGACCUUGUUUAUUGGGUAAGUGCAAAGAAAAACAAGGAGCAUGUCAGGUUAAACAUAAUCAACCCGCCAAAACCGUGACAGAAGUUAUAGGCUCUACUAGGUCAAAUUAUUUUUUAUUUUAUUUUAUUAUAUAAUAAAAAAAUAUAAAAUUUGAUUUACCAUUAACCCAAUAACCCAAUACUACAAAAUAAAAUUAAAGAAAAACCUCACAUUAAAGGAAUAAAAAAUAAAUAAAUAUGACAAAAAAUACUCAAAUGGUGUGUUACGAUAAAGCCAAACACGUGGGCUUGGGGAGGCCCACAGACGUGGCCCGUACACCUUUUUUUUAUUUGAAAAAAAAAAUCAACAUUCUCAUUUUUUAUUUGAAAAAAUAUAUUGCUGUCAGUAGGAAUCGAACCCAACACCUAUCUGCUUACUUACAACCACUUGAAUUAUGAAACGAACUACGAACUUGUUAACUAAGCUGUUAAAAUAUAUCAACUUAAUUUGAAUAAUUAAGUCAAAUCAAGUCAUUUAGUUGUUUCCUUUUUACUAUUAGAUUUGAAAUCAAUGGUUUUAACAAACCAGCAUUUUAGACUUUCCCAAAACAGACGUAUGCGCAAAAACAUUGAAUUGAAUUGAAAAUAUUGAUCUGAUCAUGCAUGGAUUUUCAUAUAAAAAAAACACAUCACCGUGGAAAGGACCUGGUGAGCAUUCAUCAGUAGAAUUCAGAGUCGCAAGUAAUCCUGGGACAUCCUUUACAAGGACUACAAGUAAUGCCUUGAAAAAGAGAGUUCGGCCUACCCAACUUGUAACCCGUAUUGUUCUUACAUCUACGAAGAGCACUACGUCGUAAAAAAGAGUAACAAAAUAAAAUAAACUCUAAGGCAACCAAAUGAAAAUGGUGAUUAAUUAAGGUGACUUGUCUGUUGCUGAUCAAUUGACCUCAUGUUCUUUUACUCUAUUUUUAUAUUGUUGUGAACCUACUUGAGUAAAAAGGACGACAAGAGAAUGUUUUCAGGAUUAAUAUGUAGGAAGUGGGUGCCAAAUUUAAUCAUUUAAUUUACAGAUAUCCUAUGCCAAGAAAUUAUCAAACUUCCAUGCAAGGUUCCUAAUUAAUAAAUGCAAAAAUUAGAAAACACAUGUUCUGCUUCCCAAUCUAUGUUGAUCCAUGAACAAGAAGACUUUAUGUAGCAUGUAAGAAACCUAGUAAGAUUAGGCUUCUAAUCCUUGUUUUCCAAGAAUGAACUCACCCACCUAACCUAACUGUGAAAAACGACAUGGCAGCAAUUCCCAUAUUCCCUUUAUAAGGUUGAGGUAGCCAGUCACGGAUGAAGACAACAAGCUUGAAAGCAAGAAGGAAACCAACAGCAACAGAGAGAUUGCCAAAGAAAGGUCUCGAAGUCAGCAAAUAUGGAGUACUCCAAUUGGCUCAUCCGUUUUAUGCUUCUUGCUGUCUGCCUCCUCCCUGCUUUGGUCGAGUGCAGGAUUCGGCAUUACAAGUUCAAUGUAAGUUAAAUGCUGUAGCAAGCUUCCAUGUGACGAAAGCGUGAACUGCUUGAGCUUUCGGUCAUUAGUCUCAUUCAUGUGACGAAAAUCUUCUUUGAAAUGCAUUUCGUUAUUAGAAGAUAGCCAUGUUUUGCACGAUGCAUUGCACAUCAUGACACUGCCUUGGCUUAAAAUCAUGCAACUUUACCCAUAUCUUUUUCCUGACUAGUCCAUGAUUCAAAUGGAAAUCAUAGAGUUUCCACCUACCUAUAGCCACUAUUUUAAAUACCAGAAAAGUUUAUUCUCAUGCUUACUUUAUGGUUAAAUAAUUGCAGCAGAAAGCUCUCACUAUAUAUAUAUAUAUAUAUAUAUAUAUAUGUUCAAGAAACCAUUAAAAAAAUAUUAAAUAGGAAAAGGGUGGUAAGAUCUCAAAGCACUGUAGUGACAUAAUUUGUCACAACAAAUUAAACAAUAUGGACAGUUUAGCAGUCAUGACCUUUGAAUUAUAUACAUUUGAUGUAGAAAUGAGCUUAAAUAUUUCACCUAUCAUUUCAACAGGUGGUGAUGAAAAAUACUACCAGACUAUGCUCUAGGAAGCCGAUUGUUACCGUCAAUGGCCGCUUCCCAGGACCCACUCUGUAUGCCAGAGAACACGAUACAGUUCUUGUAAAAGUUGUUAACCAUGUCAAAUAUAAUGUUUCUAUUCACUGGUAAGCUAACGAAACAAACCCCGUAUAACAGUUAUACUUCAAUUGAUCAUGAAUGAUACCGAUGCGGAUUUUUCUUGGUAUUCGGCAGGCAUGGCAUUAGGCAACUAAGAACGGGCUGGGCUGAUGGACCAGCAUACAUUACACAAUGCCCCAUUCAGCCAGGGCAAAGCUAUGUCUACAAUUUCACAAUCACUGGUCAGAGGGGCACACUUCUUUGGCACGCACAUAUUCUCUGGCUAAGGGCCACAGUUCAUGGUGCCAUGGUUGUCUUGCCUAAACGCGGCAUCCCCUACCCAUUCCCAGCUCCUCAUAAAGAAGUGGUUGUUGUAUUAGGUGAGCACGAUACAUAAUAGUUAUUUCUUUCACUAAAACUUUUGAAAUUAUGUGCAUUCCGACCAUAAUUCAAUGCUUUAAGGUUCAUGUUUAUUAAAUAUGUAACCUGAGACUAAUGUGGUGACGUGAAAUUGCAGCUGAAUGGUGGAAAUCAGAUACUGAAGCUGUGAUCAACGAGGCUCUUAAAUCUGGAUUAGCUCCAAAUGUCUCUGAUGCUCACACAAUUAACGGCCAUCCAGGAGCUGUCUCAGCUUGUUCUUCACAGGGUAUUCAACUAAGAUUAAUGACCAUAAGAUAUACCUGAGAGUUCUGGCUCUCAAUGCUUGCUUUCUAAUAAAGGUCUGAUACAGAAAGAUUUUUGGAUUCAUGCAGGCGGUUUCACAUUGCCAGUCAAAAGUGGCGAGACCUACAUGCUACGGUUGAUCAAUGCUGCACUCAAUGAAGAGCUCUUCUUCAAAAUUGCAGGGCACAAGCUUACAGUCGUCGAAGUUGAUGCCACCUAUGUUAAACCAUUCAAAACCGAUACAGUCCUAAUUGCCCCAGGCCAGACCACCAAUGUCCUUGUCACAACUAACAAAAAUACAGGCAAGUACUUGGUUGCUGCCUCCCCGUUCAUGGAUGCUCCAAUUGCUGUGGACAACAUGACAGCAACAGCCACUUUGCAGUAUUCAGGAGCACUUGCUAACUCCCCUACAACUCUCACCACCCCACCUCCAAAGAAUGCCACUGCAGUUGCCAACCAAUUUACCAACUCUCUACGCAGCCUUAACUCAAGAAGAUUUCCUGCCAAAGUCCCAUUAAACGUUGAUCACAACCUUUUCUUUACAGUUGGUCUAGGAGUUAACCCAUGUCCAAGUUGCAAAGCUGGUAAUGGCAGCAGGGUUGUUGCUAGUAUUAACAAUGUCACAUUUGUGAUGCCAACCACUGCCCUGCUCCAAGCACAUUUCUUCAACAUCAGCGGUGUGUUCACCACUGAUUUUCCUGCAAAGCCACCGCAUGUUUUCAAUUACACUGGCACUCCACCUACAAAUUUACAGACCAAAAGUGGAACUAAAGUUUAUAGGCUGAGCUACAACUCGACAGUCCAACUUGUCAUGCAAGAUACUGGGAUCAUAUCCCCUGAGAACCAUCCGAUCCAUUUACAUGGAUUCAAUUUCUUUGCUGUCGGUAGGGGAGUAGGGAAUUACAAUCCGAAGACUGAUACUAAGAAAUUUAACCUCGUUGAUCCUGUUGAACGGAACACAAUUGGAGUACCUUCUGGUGGAUGGGUGGCGAUAAGAUUUCGCGCCGAUAAUCCAGGUAAUUGCUGUUUAAUGUUUUCGUUUGGAAGUACAGAGCUUGGCAUUUUCAAGUUUGUUUAAUUUCAUGUUCUCUGAUUUUCUUCUUUGCAUCUCUUGUAGGAGUUUGGUUCAUGCAUUGCCAUCUGGAGGUGCACACUACAUGGGGACUUAAGAUGGCGUUCUUGGUAGAC
rnacentral:lncRNA from 1 species